AACGAACGCUGGCGGCAUGCCUAACACAUGCAAGUCGAACGAGACCUUCGGGUCUAGUGGCGCACGAGUGCGUAACGCGUGGGAACCUGCCCUUAGGUUCGGAAUAACUCCCCGAAAGGGGUGCUAAUACCGGAUAAUGUCUUCGGACCAAAGAUUUAUCGCCUUUGGAUGGGCCCGCGUUGGAUUAGCUAGUUGGUAGGGUAAAAGCCUACCAAGGCGACGAUCCAUAGCUGGUCUGAGAGGAUGAUCAGCCACACUGGGACUGAGACACGGCCCAGACUCCUACGGGAAGCAGCAGUGGGGAAUAUUGGACAAUGGGCGAAAGCCUGAUCCAGCAAUGCCGCGUGAGUGAUGAAGGCCUUAGGGUUGUAAAGCUCUUUUACCCGGGAUGAUAAUGACAGUACCGGGAGAAUAAGCUCCGGCUAACUCCGUG
rnacentral:rRNA from 1 species